GACGAACGCUGGCGGCGUGCUUAACACAUGCAAGUCGAACGGAAAGGCCCUUCUUUCAGGGUACUCUAGUUUCGAACGGGUGUGUAACACGUUUGUGUUCUGCCCUGCACUUCUUGUUAAGCCUUGGAAACUGGGUCUAUUACCUGAUAUGUGCCAUUUUUAUUGUGUUUGUUGGAAAGUUUUUUCGGUGUUGGAUGAGCUCGCGGCCUAUCUGCUUGUUGGUGGGGUAAUGGCCUACCAAGGCGGCGACGGGUAGCCGGACAGAGAGGGUGGACGGCCAAAUUGGGACUGAGAGACGGCACAGAGAGAUAAGGGAGGGAGAAGUGGGGAAGAAUGCAAAAUGGGGGCAAGGGUGAUGAAGAGAGGCAGGGGGGGGGAUGACGGGCUUGGGGUUGUAAAAAACAUUCGCAAGGGAAGAAGCAUUUUGUGACGGUAACUAGAUAAGAAGCACCGGCUAACUACGUG
rnacentral:rRNA from 1 species